AGAAGAAAGAAAAUCUUACUGGGUUGGAACAACAUGAGGGGUUGUUGUUGUUGGAUGUUGCUGAAGUUUGUCAGGUUUACGACCUUUCCAGUCCUACUCCUUAAAGUGAAUCCAGGCAGAGGAUUACAGUCUCAACGUGUGUCACUCAAUCUCUCCCAGUCUGCACAUCAACCGCUGCGUUU